UUUCUGAGCAGCCUCGAUAUCCCAAUUGCUAGUGACAAGAGCAGCUUUGACUUCUUUUAUGGGAGCACUUGUUCUUUCUCUCAGCUGUUUUAUUAAGUUCAUCUGCUCAGAAGAGGAAAUCUCGGCUGAAUAUCUCCUAAUAGAGACUGCACAUGAUCUAGGUCCAUUCCCAUGUUGGUGAAAAUAUCCUCCAGACUUAGCAAUGGAAUUUCCAUAACGUGUCAAAGUAGAGUAGUCAUGUCCACUACAUAUAGAACUAUUUAAACUCUUGUAUAUGAUUGCAAUAGGGCGUUUUACACCACGAUAAAACACCAUCUUCCAGUUAGAAUGUGAUCUGUGAUGCUAAUCAGGAGGAAUUUCGGCCGGAGAUCAGUCGCCG
rnacentral:misc_RNA from 1 species